UUUGCACACACAAAAACAGACGGAAAUUUUCUGUAAAGGAGUUGUUACUCCGCCCAUUUUUAGCGUCAUUAUGGGUGUCUUACGCUAGAACUAACAUAGUUCAAAUGACGAAUCUGCGACAAAGCAACUAUGGUUUAGGGAAACUACAUCGUUCUUUUCUCAAACAUGUAUCGUACUAUGGUAGUUCGGCCGCGAGUUACGUCUUUGUUUGGGAAACGCACCCUAGCGCGAUUUAUGUUUAUACUAAGAGGAAAGCAUACAUAAAUAAGCGUCCCUCUAAGCAGUGUGCACGACAUCUGGAUGUCCGUUUACAAUAUAUAACUGCAAAGGUAUUUCCAACUUCUCUUUAAUUUUAAAAGACUGAAUAUGUACUUCAAAAGUGUUGCGUAUGAAUCAGCCACCAAGUGCAAGUCUAAACCAAAGCAAAUCCCACAGCUCGCGUCAAGCAAGGAGUGAAGCAGCAGGAUUCCACUGAAGAUUAAGAAAUGAUCAUGAAAGGGUUAUCUGCAGUUGAGGGAAUGAUGUGAUGUUGUGGCGGUACACACACACCCACAUAUGGAUCCCCAUACGGAGGUCAGCGGCUGGCCAGCAGGCAGCACACACCGCACAAUAAAACUGUGAACAGGACCGGUGCAUACAGAAAAGAGUUUAGUGCAGGCUCCGUCACACAGCAGACAUUGAUUUGUGCAGGUGGCGCUAUGACCUUAACGUAAUUUUGGCAUGCAGAUGUCUUCAGGAGAGGAAUCUUAUCAACCAUGUGACUUUUCAGGCAGAUCUGACAUUGUGUGGUGGUUAUAAGUACUUCCUCCCUCAUUGCGAAACACUGUCCUUCACAGACGUCCUUCGACGAUAACUCUUGAUCUUCACACUUUAAUGUCACAAAGGCCUUUGGAUUAAACUAAAGGAGCGUUGAUUUGAUCUGGUAAAAGUUCUAGGAGUUUGUUACUGUGUAAAACUCUGUUGCCAGCAGGUGGUCCUAACUGGAUAUUGGCAUGUUAACAUGUUCAGAUAAGGACUCUUAUCAAACGUGUGUAUUUUGAGGCAGAUCGGACAAUGCAUGUCUUCAAUUCCUGUUUUGUGGUGAAAUAUCAAAUUUUGUGAGGCCACCACGGACACGCCCUUCGACAAAAACUCUAGAUAUUCACAAUUUAACAUCACCAAGACCUUUACUUAACAAUAUCCAAUUGUUAACAGGAGUUAAAGUACAACACCUGGAAAUGGCAAAAACUGCAGAGGAAGUUAACAUUUUUAUAGGUAUUGGCAUGUUUGAUGUGUUUGGGGUUUUUUUGUUGUUUUUUUUGUAUGUGUUGGUCAAACAUAGCUUGCAGGGCACAUUGUUGAUUAUAUGUUGCACUGUUGAGCCAGUUUGCCACACCUACUUCUAAAACCCAUAUCAAAUGUAAAUUUUCACUACUUUAGGUGCAUGUUCAAAGUUUUGUGAGUUUUCGAGCAUGUUUAGACCCUCAAAAAUGUGACUGAUUCUGGAACGGAAUAAUAAUAAGUAGAAAUGGAGCGAUUCCAAUACCAUUGGUGCUCAAGCCCUAGAUAUAGUUGAAGCCAUAAUUAUUAGAAUUUUAUUUUAUUAGAAGCAGAAAUGCUGUUUUUUUAUCAUUUUCAACACAUUUUAAACAUAAUAGUUUUUUUAAAAUAAUUUCAAAUAACUUAUCCUACUAGUAACUAAAAGCUAACUAGUUAUGUCUAGUUGCAGCUGGAAGGGCAUCUGCUGCGUAAAACAUAUGUUAGAAAGUUGGUGGUUCAUUCCGCUUUGGCAACCCCAGGUUAGUAAAGGGACUGAGCCAAAAAGAAAAUGAAUGAAUGAAUGAAUAUGAAUGAAUGAAUGAGGCAAGUUAGUGUAAAGAUAUAGUUCAAUGAAAUUAACAUGUAUUCUCUAUUUACCUACCUUCAAAUAAUUUCAACUUUUUAUGAGGAGGACAAAUUGAUACUAGGGAAUUCAAUGGUGACAGGUUUCCAACAUUUUUCAAACUAUCUUCUUUUGUGUUGGCAGAAGAAAUUUAUAAAGGUUUGAAACAAGUUAAGGGUGUGUAAACUGUGUCUAUUAUUUUAUUUUUGUGUAAACUGCAUUUAAUUAUGCAAGAAACUGGACGAUAGUGGUUUUUUUCUCUAAUUGAUAACUAAAUUCUUAAGAGGGCUAAUAGGAUUGAAUAUUUAUUUAUUCAUUCAUUAAUUUAUUCUUUUUCUACCGAUUUUCCAGAGUCGGGUUGCGGGGACAGCAGUCUUAGGAGAGAACCCCAGACUUCCCUCCCCCCCGACACUUCCUCCAGCUCGUCCUGGAGGAUCUCGAGGCGUUCCAAGGUCUCAGUGUGGCGACAAGCCUUCCAUACAGUUCCUCACAUCUAUCGAUCGUCUGGCUGAUGAAGCCAUCAAGAUCAGGGUGUGUAAGAAGGACAUCUUCCCAUUUUCUGUCAGCCUAAGCAGGUCUUUGCAUUCUCAGCCAGUGCUCAUGUGUGUGCAAGUUCCCUAAUGAUGCCCCGCUCCUGUCACACAAACAUUUAAAACGAAGCUUCUGCGAGCAAAGCAGUGCAACUCCACACAGCUGCUCUUCUCAUCUCUGAUUGGCCCUGUUGCUGUUACUUGGGGAGAAACUAAAUGUCAUGGCCGAAAGGGGGAGAAUAAAUGAUACAGAGGUGUCAGGAGCACCGGUACUCUAAAAGAGCCUUCAAGUUGUCCACGGGGAUACCAGAGAUUGAUUCGGCAAGGCAUGUCUCACCACAUUUUCGCUUUUCAUUCCACAUUUAUUUUAAUAAUGAGAAGAUAGCUCCCAUAUGAUGCCCUAGAACUGUUUAACCAUAUAAAUAAUUUCAGUGAUGGAAAUUUUAAAUUCAUCACCCAAACUGCCUUUCUGUUUUAAUUAUCCACUCAAGGACCUCGCAUGCAGGCUAUCUAAUAAAAUUCACAAUGGAUCUCCUAAGGACGACAAUCCAUUUUAAUCCUACAUGUAAUUAAGACAAGAGGUUACAGGGUCAGAGUUGUUGUUGACAGGCGGAGAGAAGGCUGUUUUAGCACAGCUGCCGAAGCUAAGCUUAUUUGUCAUUCUAUCAAACGAUAAGCAAAAAUAAAUAUGUCAAAUAACGUAUAAAAUGUAGAUAUCUGCAUAAUCUGUUUGACAGUCAAGUAGCUUUCUUUUUACUGGAAUUCUACAUUUAGCUUGGUCUUUAUUUGUAGCAUUCAGUGCUGUGUAGAGUGAAAUCAAGUAAUUUCAGUAGUUAUGUUGUUAUGUGUGUGAUUACCAGUUUUGCAUGAGGAAAAAAAAUUACUCAUACACAAUCUUCUCUUGGACAAUGGGCAACAUACAAAGGACAUUUUUUGCCCAACAUAAUUUUGACAAAUUGGUGGCUCAUUUAUAUGUGAAAUUGUGAAUUGUGAAAUCUCAUUCAUGCCAAAAAAUAUACAAUGGUAGGCAAAAUUAUUAGCCCUUC